rnacentral:rRNA from 1 species
CACGUAGGGGGCAAGCGUUGUCCGGAUUUAUUGGGCGUAAAGAGCUCGUAGGCGGCUUAGUAAGUCGGGUGUGAAACCUCCAGGUUCAACCUGGAGACGCCACCCGAUACUGCUGUGGCUAGAGUCCGGUAGGGGAGCGUGGAAUUCCCGGUGUAGCGGUGAAAUGCGCAGAUAUCAGGAGGAACACCAGCGGCGAAGGCGGCGCUCUGGGCCGGUACUGACGCUGAGGAGCGAAAGCGUGGGUAGCAAACAGG